rnacentral:rRNA from 1 species
AUUGAACGCUGGCGGCAUGCUUUACACAUGCAAGUCGAACGGUAGAGGGGGCAACCCCUUGAGAGUGGCGAACGGGUGAGUGAUGCAUCGGAACGUGCCCAGUCGUGGGGGAUAACGCAGCGAAAGCUGUGCUAAUACCGCAUACGAUCUCUGGAUGAAAGCGGGGGACCGAAAGGCCUCGCGCGAUUGGAGCGGCCGAUGUCAGAUUAGGUAGUUGGUGGGGUAAAGGCCUACCAAGCCAACGAUCUGUAGCUGGUCUGAGAGGACGACCAGCCACACUGGGACUGAGACACGGCCCAGACUCCUACGGGAGGCAGCAGUGGGGAAUGUUGGACAAUGGGCGCAAGCCUGAUCCAGCAAUGCCGCGUGCAGGAAGAAGGCCUUCGGGUUGUAAACUGCUUUUGUACGGAACGAAACGGUCUGGGUUAAUACCCUGGGCUAAUGACGGUACCGUAAGAAUAAGCACCGGCUAACUACGUGCCAGCAGCAGCCGCGG